rnacentral:tRNA from 1 species
GAAGUAGCUCAGCUUGGUAGAGCACUUGGUUUGGGACCAAGGGGUCGCAGGUUCGAAUCCUGUCUUC